rnacentral:lncRNA from 1 species
AGUAGACAUGACUCCAAAGAAGAUAUACAAAUAGCCAACAAGCACAUAAUAAGAUGUUCAAUAUUAUCAUUAGUCACUAGGGAAAUGAAAAUCUAAACCAUAGUGAAAUAUUGUUUCAUACCAGCUAGGAUGGCUGUAAUCAAAAAGACUGAUAAUAACAAGUGUUGGUGAGGAGUGGUGGUGUGAUGCCGUAACACAUGCACACACACAUCCAUACACACACACACACACACACACACACACACACACACAUUGCUGUAGUGGAAAUAGAAGUGAUGCAGCCAUUUGGGAAAAUAAUUUGAAAUUUCCUCAAAAAAUUAAAAUACAAUAACUUAUAUGUGGAAUCCAGUUUUAAAAAUGAUACAAAUGAACUUAUUCACAAAACAGAAACAGAGUCAUAGACAUAUAAAACAAAUGUAUGGUUACUAAAAGGGGGAUGUGGUGGCAGAGGGAUAAAUGAGGAGUUUGGGAUUAAUAUAUACACACUACCAUAUAUAAAAUAGAUAAUCAACAAGGACCUAAUGCAUAUCACACGGAACUCUAUGCAAUAGUCUAUAAUAACCUAUAUGGAAAAAGAAUCUGAAAAAGAAUGAAUAUAUGUAUAUGCAUAACUGAAUCAUUUUGCUGUACACCUGAAAUUAACACAACAUUGUAAAGGCACUAUAGGCCAGUAAAAAAAGAAAAGAGUAAAAACAAAGUUAAAAUAUAGAAUUUUCAUUGGGCCCAGAGAAUCUAAGAGAAUCAAGUCAUUUGUUCACACAAGAACUUGUUUAAAAUGUUCAUAGUAGCACUGUUCAUAAUAUCCAAAUGUAGGCACAAUAUCCACUGGCUUAUGAAUGGAUAAAAAUGUAGUAUAUCCAUAUAAAAAAAUGUGGUAUAUCCAUACAAUGGAAUUAUUUGGCAUUUAACAGGAAGGAGUUCUGAUAGAUGCUACACCAUGAAUGAAUACUUUGAAAACAUAAUGCUAAGUGAGAGAGGCCAGGCACAAGAGGACACAUACUGUGUGAUUCCCUGAUAUGAAAUGUUCAAAAUAGGCAAAAAGAGACAUAGUAACAGAAAACUGACUAAUGGUUGGCAAGAGUUGGGGGGUUAGAAGAAACAGGAGUCACUACUAGGAGGUAUGGAGUUUUUAGGGAGAUAAAAAUAUUCUGGGAUUAGAUGGUAGUGACGGUUGCAUAAGUCGUUAAUACUUUAAAAACCACUGAGUUUUAUACUUUAAAGCUGUGCAUUUUAUGUCAUAUGAAUUUUACAUACAUCUUUUAAAAUUAUGCAAAUAUAAUUUAAAAAUAAGGCAAAAUGGAUAAAUUCUUAGAAAAACACAAUCUGCCAACUGGAUUCAAGAAUAAAAUGGAAAGCCUGAAUAGUCUGCUUCUUUAAAAAAAUUGAAGCAGUAAUUAAAAAUCCCACUCCAAAGAAAUUACAAGGCCCAAAUGGCUUUAUAGGUAAGUUCCACAAAACUUUCAAUGAACUCUUCCAGAGAAUAAAACUCAUUCUACAAGAUUUAUAUAACCUUACAAAAAAAAAAGACAAUAACAAUACAAAAAAGAAAGAUUAUAAGCUUGUUCCACUUAUACAGACGCAGAAGUUCUAAGUAAAAUAUUAGCAAGUCAAAUCAAAGUUAUAAAAAUGGUAAUAAAUCAUAGCAAAGAUGGGUCUAUCCUAGGGCUGCAGGGAUGGUUUAAUACUAUUAAAUUAAUAAAUGUUAUUCAUUACUGUAAUUGAGAAAAGAUUUAAGCUGUAUCAAUAGAUAUAGUAAAAUAAUUUGAUAAAAUUCAAUACUUGUUCAUGGGAAAAGAAAACGUCUUCAUAAAAACCAUGAUUGUGAGAGCACUUAUUUAGUCUGAUCAAAGAUAUUCCUAAAAAACACACAAAAAUCAUUAUAAACAAAAAAAAUAAAUAAAAAUUAAAAUUAAAAAAAGGAGUUCCUAUCGGGGCACAGCAGAAACGAAUCCGACCAGCAACCAUGAGAUUGCAGGUUCGAUCCCUGGCCUUGCUCAGUGGGUUAAGGAUCUGGUGUUGCCUUGAGCUGUGGUGUAGGUUGCAGAUGCGGCUCGGAUCCUAAGUUGCUGUGUCUGUGGCUUAGGUUGGCAGUUGUAGCUCCGAUUAAACCCCUAUCCUGGGAACCUCCAUGUGCCACAGGUGAGGCCCUAAAAAGCAAAAAUAAAAUAAAAUAAAAUAAUUAAAAAAAUAAAAAUCAUUAUAAACAAGGAAAUAUGUGGUUAUGCCCUAUAAAAUCAGGAAUAAGUCAAUGAUGCUCACUACCACCGCUUCACUUCCACACAGUACUAGAUGACUUAGAUGCCAUGACUAAGACAAGGAAAAAAAAAAUUAAAAGCAAAAAGAAGAGAAAGGAAGAAAUAAAACAUUAUUUGUGGAUUAUAUGAUCAUCUAUACAUAAAAUUCAAAAUAACCUAAAUAAUUAGAAAUAGGAGAGUUCCCGUCGUGGCGCAGUGGUUAACGAAUCCGACUAGGAACCAUGAGGUUGCGGGUUCGGUCCCUGCCCUUGCUCAGUGGGUUAACGAUCCAGCGUUGCAGUGAGCUGUGGUGUAGGUUGCAGGCGCGGCUCGGAUCCCGCGUUGCUGUGGCUCUGGCGUAGGCCGCAGCUGCAGCUCUGAUUCGACCCCUGGUCCAGGAACUUCCAUAAGCUGCAGAUGCAGCAGCCAUAAAAAGAAAAAAAAAUGAAGACUUGUACAUAUACAAUGUUCAUAGCUGCUUCAUUUUUUUUCUUGUGUUGUAACUGAGGAUUUGUUAAGCCUUCUAUUUAUUUUAAUUUUUAAAAAUUUUAUUGAAGUACAGUUGAUUUACAGUGUUGUGUUAAUUUCUGCUGUUCUGCAAAGUGAUUCAACUAUACAUAUACACAUAGUCAUUCCUUUUCAGAUUCUUUUCCCAUUUAGGUUAUCAGAAUACUGAGUAGAGUUCUCUGUGCUACACAGUAGGUCCCCAUUGACCAUCCAUUCCAUACACAAUAGUGAGUAUACGCCAGUCCCAAACUCCAAAUACAUCCCUUCUCCCAACAUUUUCCCUUUGGUAACCAUAAGUUUGUUUUAUGUCUGCUAGUCUGUUUGUUUUAUAAAUAAAUUCAGUUGUAUCAUUUUUUUUAGAUUCCACAUAUAAGUGAUGCCAUAUGGUAUUUGCCUUUCUCUGUCUUACUUAUUUCAUUUAGCAUGAUAAUUUCUAGACCCAUCCAUGUUUCUGCAAAUGAUAUUAUUUCACUCUUUUUAUGGCUGAGUAAUAUUCCAUUGUAUAUAUGUACCACAUCUUUAUCCAUUCCUCUGUCAAUGAACAUUUAGCUUGCUUCCACGUCUUGGCAAUUGUAAAUAGUACUGCAGUGAACACUGUGGAUAGCUGCUUUAUUUUUAAUAGACAAAAAUUGGAAAACAGCCCAAAUAUCCAUGAAUAGGUGGAUGAGAAACAAAUUGUGGUAAAUCCAUACAACAGAACAUUCAGGAAUAUGGAGUUCCCAUCUUGGCGCAGCAGAAAACAAAUCUGACUAGGAACCAUGAGGUUGCCGGUUUGAUCCCAGGCCUUGCUCAAUGGGCUAAGUAUCUGGCACUGCCAUGAGCUGUGGUGUAGGUCACAGACGUGGCUUGGAUCCUGUGUUUUUAUGGCUGUGGCGUAGACCAACAGCUGCAGCUCUGAUUUGACCCCUAGCCUGGGAACUUCCAUAGGCCACGUGUGUGGCCCUAAAAAGCAAAAAAUUAAAAAAUUUUUAAAAUAAAUAAAAGAAAAGAAUAUGGGAGGGAGGGAUAAAUUAGGAGUUUGGGAUUAACUCAUGCCCACUACUAUAUAUAAAACAGAUAAUCAACAAGGACCUACUCUACAUACAGUGAACUCAAUAUUCUAUAAUAACCAACUACACUGCAAAUAAAUCAACUAUGCUGCAAUAUAAAAUAAAAAUUAAAUUCAAAACAGGUGCAGAAUAAUUUCCCUUAGAGAGAAAAUCCUUCUUCUUAUUCAAACACCUCAAUGGGCCUUUUUGGUUGUGAGAGGUGAGGUCCCUUGGGUUGCCCUAGGAAUGAACUGACCAUAGGAUAAGCACUUUUUCUGUAAAAUAAAACUAUAGGAAUUUUUCAUUUUUGUGGAGGAGUCCAGAAUUCAGAGAGGAGGAGAAAGAAGUCUCCAGAGAAGAUGGGGAGAAUCCAUAAAACAUGUAGCCAGCAGAGUCUAUGGAGAAAGAUGGCCAGUGAGAAAAUCUCUGGGGCAGGAAUGGGCACAGAGCUUUGAUAUCUAAUAUUCGUAUUUAAAUUAUUUUCUAGGCUCUGACGUAGUCCCCUUGCAUAAUCCCCAAACCUUCAGCUAAGCCUAUUCCAGUUGCUGACCUUGAGUUAAUG